AGAAGAAACACUUUAGAAUUUGAUAUUCAUCCCUCUUCUCCCCUAGGGUUUUGAUGGUCAUGUUAGAGCAGAGUGAAAACAUGAUCAGACACCUGCAGAGAAACUUUCCUUUAUUCCUCAUUAGGAGAUGCUGUUUGUAAACUUUAAAGUGCAAAAUCCUCUACAGUUCCUGAAUUUCCUGGACCCAUAAAAAUGUUUGUCCCACAUUUAGGUAAAGCAGCCCUAUUUUGGCAAAGAAGAAUGAAACAUCUCAGAGGCAGAGAUCCAAAUACACUUGACCCUUGAACAAUGCAAGAGGUAUAUCACUGAACAGCCCUGAACAUGGUGAGUCUAAAGAACAAAAGAGUAAAAGGAAACAAGCCCUGGGCUUCUUCCCAAUAUGCCAGGAAAGAAACAGCAGCAGGACUUUAAGAACACUGGAAAUUGGUAGGACAAUGACCUGUUUAUAAAACUCAGUUUAUUCUUAAAGAAACACUUGAUUCUAUUUCUCUUGAUAUCUCAAACUUUGCUAACUUCUAAAGAUGGCCAUUCAAAAAGAGCACGUCUAGUCAUCAUUCGCUUUGUGUGGAAAAACAUUUUUUACUCUACUUCAAAUAAAGAUGGAGCACCUUAUCUAUGAACAAACC
rnacentral:lncRNA from 1 species